rnacentral:rRNA from 1 species
AGAACGAACGCUGGCGGCGUGCCUAACACAUGCAAGUCCAACGUGAAGGGGAGCAAUCCCCCGGUAGGUGGCAAACGGGUGAGUAAUACAUGGGUGAUCUACCUUAGGGAUGGGGAUAUCCUUCCGAAAGAGGGGCAAUACCGAAUAUUGUCCGGAGCCGUGAAGGGUUCCGGGGAAAGGGAGGCCUCUGAUACAAGCUUUCGCCUUAAGAUGAGCCCAUGGCCCAUCAGCUAGUUGUAGGGUAAAGGCCUACCAAGGCUACGACGGGUCGCUGGUCUGAGAGGACGACCAGCCACACUGGCACUGAGAUACGGGCCAGACUCCUACGGGAGGCAGCAGUGAGGAAUAUUGCGCAAUGGGGGAAACCCUGACGCAGCAACGCCGCGUGUGGGAAGAA